CCGGGUGCGUGAAAGGUGGGGAGGAGCCAUCUGGGGACGUCUGGAAACUUCCCUGGACAGACACAGCAGUGUGGGCUCUGGAUUCACUGGAGAUUUCCACCAAAGCAACACAGGAAAGGAGCUGAAGACAAACGUCCCACAGCUCUUGCUCUUCAAAAUGACCAGGCCAAUCGAAGGGGAUUCCUAGGCAACGUAUGAAGAAACUGAGGCACAGAGAGGUUAAGUGACUUGCCCAAGAUCACACAGCUGCCCAUCCUGCCUAGAAUGAAAACCACACAGGCCGAGCAGAACGAGAAUGCUGUUCAUUCAGGCUGUGUC